rnacentral:rRNA from 1 species
UCGAGCGAGUCUCCUUGAAGAUCGGAGUGCUUGCACUCUGUGAAACAAGAUACAGGCUAGCGGCGGACGGGUGAGUAACACGUGGGUAACCUGCCCAAGAGAUCGGGAUAACGCCUGGAAACAGAUGCUAAUACCGGAUAACAACAGAUGAUGCCUAACAACUGUUUAAAAGAUGGUUCUGCUAUCACUCUUGGAUGGACCUGCGGUGCGUUAGCUAGUUGGUAGGGUAACGGCCUACCAAGGCGAUGAUGCAUAGCCGAGUUGAGAGACUGAUCGGCCACAUUGGGACUGAGACACGGCCCAAACUCCUACGGGAGGCAGCAGUAGGGAAUCUUCCACAAUGGACGCAAGUCUGAUGGAGCAACGCCGCGUGAGUGAAGAAGGGUUUCGGCUCGUAAAGCUCUGUUGUUGGUGAAGAAGGACAGGGGUAGUAACUGACCUUUGUUUGACGGUAAUCAAUUAGAAAGUCACGGCUAACUACGUGCCAGCAGCCGCGGUAAUACGUAGGUGGCAAGCGUUGUCCGGAUUUAUUGGGCGUAAAGCGAGUGCAGGCGGCUCGAUAAGUCUGAUGUGAAAGCCUUCGGCUCAACCGGAGAAUUGCAUCAGAAACUGUCGAGCUUGAGUACAGAAGAGGAGAGUGGAACUCCAUGUGUAGCGGUGAAAUGCGUAGAUAUAUGGAAGAACACCGGUGGCGAAGGCGGCUCUCUGGUCUGUUACUGACGCUGAGGCUCGAAAGCAUGGGUAGCGAACAGGAUUAGAUACCCUGGUAGUCCAUGCCGUANACGAUGAGUGCUAAGUGUUGGGAGGUUUCCGCCUCUCAGUGCUGCAGCUAACGCAUUAA